rnacentral:rRNA from 1 species
UAGGGAAUCUUCCGCAAUGGGCGAAAGCUUGACGGAGCAACGCCGCGUGAGUGAUGAAGGUCUUCGGAUCGUAAAACUCUGUUAUUAGGGAAGAACAAAUGUGUAAGUAACUAUGCACGUCUUGACGGUACCUAAUCAGAAAGCCACGGCUAACUACGUGCCAGCAGCCGCGGUAAUACGUAGGUGGCAAGCGUUAUCCGGAAUUAUUGGGCGUAAAGCGCGCGUAGGCGGUUUUUUAAGUCUGAUGUGAAAGCCCACGGCUCAACCGUGGAGGGUCAUUGGAAACUGGAAAACUUGAGUGCAGAAGAGGAAAGUGGAAUUCCAUGUGUAUCGGUGAAAUGCGCAGAGAUAUGGAGGAACACCAGUGGCGAAGGCGACUUUCUGGUCUGUAACUGACGCUGAUGUGCGAAAGCGUGGGGAUCAAACAGG